rnacentral:sRNA from 1 species
AUUUAUCAAAUUUUUAGAUAUUUCAAACAAAUCAAAAAUAAUAAACCAUUCUAUCGAGAGGAGUAUAAUAAAAUGACCCAAAAUUCAAUGCAAUACAAACCAACAACUUCAAAUAUUUUAGUCAUUUUAUUAUGCUCGUAGGACUGGAACUUUAGUAAAGCAUCUACUAAACGUUUAAGUCCUAUUUCUAGUUGAAUGGGACUUAAAAG